AAAAAAUCGUUGCUGACCGAGAAACACGUUUCUCGAGGACGGAUCAAUAUUCCGACGGACACAACUUUUGAUGGGCACGGUCCUCAAUUAUUAUUAUUCUUAUUCAAGAACAAGAAACACACCGAACGUUGUGAUCGUGUUACUAAAGCCUGCACAAAAAAAAGUCUUGACUCAACCUGCCGACGGUAUCUUCUGAUAAUUGAAAGGAGUCAUCGACAAGAGCCAUAUGUGGAAAAAAGAUACGAUCUUUGGUAAAUCACUUGAGAGCUUGCCUUCUAUUUUUGGAAGAAUUUUUUGUGUAACCUUAGAAUAAAUUGCUUGCUCUCAGCUUUUUAUCACAUA